GUCGCAUUGACGUAAGAAGAGUUGUAUUUUUAUAGAAAGAAAAUAUUUUGCCUAAUCGCCUUCAAAGGAGCCUUGUACACAAUCUCUAGGCUUUGAAUGUGACUGUAUUCAGAGAAAGAACGUUCACAGAGGUGAGUUACUAUGAGGGUGUAGGGUGGGCCCUAAUUCAGACUAGUGUUCUUAUAGAGGAGAGUGUGCACAGAGGAGAGAUCAUGUGAGGACACAGCGAGAAGACAAUCAUCUGUAAGCCAAGGAGAGAGGCCUCAGAAAAAAAUCCACCCUGCUAAGAGCUUGAUCUUGGACUUACAGCCUCCAGGACUGUGAGUAAAUAAA
rnacentral:lncRNA from 1 species